GGGUAGCGUGCGCUAUGGAGCUGCAAGUCGCAGAGCUGAAGCAGAAGCUUGAAGACACGUUGUGCCCUUUUGGCUUCGAGGUUUACCCCUUCCAGGUGGCAUGGUACAAUGCACUCCUGCCUCCAGCCUUUCACCUGCCCCUGCCAGGACCUACCCUGGCCUUCUUGGUACUCAGCACACCUGCCAUGUUUGACCGGGCUCUCAAGCCCUUCCUGCAGAGCUGCCAUCUCCAACCACUGACUGACCCUGUGGACCAGUGUGUGGCCUACCACCUGGGCCGUGUUAGAGAGAGCCUCCCAGAGCUGCAAAUAGAAGUCAUCGCUGACUACGAGGUACACCCGAACCGGCGCCCCAAGAUUCUGGCUCAGACAGCAGCCCAUGUGGCUGGGGCAGCUUACUACUACCAAAGACAGGACGUGGAGUCUGACCCCUGGGGGACCCAGAACAUAGCAGGUGUAUGUAUACAUCCCAGAUUUGGGGGCUGGUUUGCCAUCCGAGGGGUGGUGCUGCUGCGUGGAAUAGAGGUGCCGGAUCUGCCACCCACAAAGCCCCUCGACUGUGUACCUACAAGAGCUGACCGGAUCACCCUGCUUGAACGCUUCAAUUUCCACUGGCACGAUUGGACUUACCGGGAUGCUGUGACACCUCAGGAGCGCUACUCAGAAGAACAGAAGGCCUACUUUUCCACUCCACCUGCCCAACGCUUGGCCUUGCUGGGCUUGGCCCAGCCCUCAGAGGAGCCCAACUCCACAUCCCAAGAGCUUCAUUUUAGCACAUUCAUACCCAAGAAGCCUCAGAAUCCUAGCAGAGGCUGGCUCAGCCCCAGGGUCUCACCACCUGAAUCCCCUGGCCCUUGAUACCCUCCUCCCGUGUGGUAUCCUAGUAACAGUGGCACAUGCUGGGACUUACUUGGCUAGGCAAGACUUUUAUUUUGGGUACAAGACAAUCAUUUUUGAUUAAGAAUUAUAGAUGUAAGGCUCAGAGAAGUUUGGUCAAGAUUAAAGACCAAAGCAGACCCAGACUUCCCACCUGCCUUGCAACAUGGGAUAAUUACCUAUUACCAUUUCUCUGCAGUGCUUCAAGAUGCUAUUUGUUACAGGGCUUAAGGAGCAACUACCCCCUAAAUAACGGUACCUUCCUCAGAUUAUUGUGGAGACUGAAUAAAUAUGAAACAGUACCUGAAAUACAGUAAGCUAUUAUUGAAGGCUCCGGGGAACCCUGUACUGCUGCCCAUAGGUCUUACCUGUCUGAAUACUGGAGGGGUAGGUAGGCUGGGGUAGCCAUGUCUGGAAAGGCACCACGUGAUAUAUAUGCCCUAGCCUCGAGAGCCCUGGAGGAAGCCACCUUUGCCACACUGACAACCUUCCCGAGGACAAUGAUAAUGAAUGAAGGCAAGACCCUUAAAUCAAGGCUGGAAACCCAGGGAAGCCGAGAGGUGUUUCUGACUCACAAAGACCUACUCUACUGAAUACGAGCCCUUAUGUUUGUAUCCCCCUCACCCUUCCAGUUCCAAAGAUGGUGCUGGAACAGCUGGAUUUCCACAAGUAAAACAAUGCAAUUGGACACCUAUUCAUAUCAUAUACAAAAAAUUUACUCAAAAAUGGAUCAACAACCUAAAUAUAAGAGCUAAAACCAUAAACUCUUUGAAGAAAAUACAGGGUGGUCAAACUUCAUGACCCUGGAUUUGGAACUGUAUUCUUAGACAUGAUACUGAAAACACAAGCAACAGUAAAAAACAGAAGAAGAAUAUUGGACUUGAUCAAAAUUAAGGAUGUUUGUAGAUCAAAGGACAUUAUCAAGAGAGUGAAAACAACCCACAACAUGGGAGCAAAUAUUUACAAAUCAUAUCUGAUAAGGGAUUAAUAGCCAAAAUUAAAAUCCAGAACUCCCAGAACUCAACAACAGCCAACUCAAUUCAAAAAUGGGCAAAGGACUCGAAAAAAGACAUCUCCAAAGAUAUACAAAUAGUCAAUGAACACAAGAAAAUAUGCUAUCACUAGUCAAAACCACAAUGAGAUACCAUUUCACAUACCCUAGGAUGGCUAUAGUUUAAAAAAAAAAGAUGGAAAGUAAAUGUUGGUAAGGAUUUAAAGAACCCUUGGUAUUGCUGGUGGGAAUGUAAAAUGGUACAGAUGCUGUGGAAAAGUUUGGCAGCUCCUCAAGAAUCUAAACAGAAUUACCAUAUGACCCAGCAAUUCUAUUCCUAUAUAUAUACCCCAAAGUAAUUGGAAACAAGGACUCAGAACCAGUUCACCAAUAUUUUAGCAAUAUUAUUCACAACAGCCAAAAGGUGGAAACAACCUGUUAAUGGGUAGAUAGACAAAAUGCAGUGUGUGUACACACACACACGUUGAAAUAUUAUUCAACCUUUAAAAAGAAUGAAGUUCUUCAGCAAGAUUUUUUUUGAUCCACCCCCUAGAAUAAUGGAAAUAAAAACAGAAAUAAAUAAGUUGGACCUAAUGAAACUUCAAAGCUUCUGCACAGCAAAGGAAACUAUAAGCAAGACGAAAAGACAACCCUCAGAAUGGGAGAAAUAUUUGCAAACGAAUCAACAGACAGAGGACUAAUCUCCAAAAUAUAUAAACAGUUCAUCCAACUCAAUAUCAAAAAAACACACAACCCAAUCAGAAAAUGGGCAGAAGACCUAAAUAGGCAUUUCUCCAAAGAAGACAUACGGAUGGCCAAGAGGCACUUGAAAAGCUGCUCAACAUCACUAAUUAUUAGGGAAAUGCAAAUCAAAACUACAAUGAGGUAUCACCUCACACCGGUUAGAACGGGCAUCAUCAGAAAAUCUACAAACAGUAAAUGCUGGAGAGGGUGUGGAGAAAAAGGAACGCUCUUAUGUUGCUGGUGGGAAUGUAAAUUGAUACAGCCACUAUGGAAAACAGUAUGGAGGUUCCUUGCAAAACUGAAAAUUGAACUACCAUAUGACCCAGCAAUCCCACUCUGGGCAUAUACCCAGAGAACACCGAAAUUCAAAAAGACACAUGCACUCCAAUGUUCACUGCAGCACUAUCUGCAACAGCCAGGACAUGGAAGCAACCUAAAUGUCCAUCAACAGAUGAAUGGAUAAAGAAGAUGUGGUACAUACAUACAAUGGAAUGUUACUCAGCUGUAAAAAGCAAUGAAACUGGGACAUUUUUAGAGACAUGGAUGGACCUAGAGACUGUCAUACAGAGUGAAGUGAGUCAGAAAAAGAAAAACAAAUAUUGUAUAUUAACACAUAUACGUGGACUGUAGAAAAAUGGUACAAAUCAAUCGGUUUGCAAGGCAGAAAUAGAGACAGAUGUAGAGAACAAACAUAUGGACACCAAGU